CCCAUAAUUCUUAGACUCAUACCUAACCUAAUUCUUAUCCCUAUAUAAUAGUACAUAAUACCUAAAUAUUGACCUACACCUAAAAAUUUAGAUCUGCCAUUAACAACAAAAGACCCCAUCCUCCCCGAUCUGAUUUUUUUGUUAAAAGAAAAGGAGUCAUUUUUCAUAAAUUUUAACUGAACAAGGAACGAAAGAGCCUCACCAUAUCUCAAUUCCUUUGCAAAAAUCUGUUGUCUCCCUAAAGGAUCUUAUCAUCUCUCUUAAUAUCUCUCCAAGUCCCAACAACACUACUAGGUUCAAAUAGAAACAAGUCAUGAAAGACCCAUAAAUGCCUCAAAAUCCAGUCAUGAAACCAGCGAGAAAACGGACCAAAAUGAGUCAAAAAUGACUCCAAUAGCUGCUGAAAAAUAGCACCAAACCCAACUCCAAAAUCACCCCUUAAUCACCACAAAUCAGCUCAAACGCAGUCCCAAAAUCAGCAACAAUAAGCUGAAAAACAACCUCAAAUUAUCUAGCGAAAAUCAGCUAAAAACUUGCUGAAAUCAGUCCAAAACAGCCCCCCUCUCCCCAAAAUUGUAGCUUAAAGUAGCUGAUUCCAGCCAACAACCACACCCAAAACAACCUCCAAAGCUUAAAAAAAAUCUUGGCCAAAACUCCAUUGAAACAGGUUGGAAAAUCUGUCCAAACAUCGUAUUUUCAUGGUAGUGUUCAGUCGGGUAGGAGUUUAAAAUUCGAAAUCUUCCACUCAAGUCGAGGUCAUUUCGGGUCGUCAUCGAGGCUUUGAUAGUCGGCUUUGAUCCAGUACCAUGUUCAAUCUUUUAGAAGUUUCUGCCGCCCUUGUACACAUUUUGGAGAAUACUGUUCAACAAUAGAGGUUCUCCAUUCACUUUGCUGAUUAUGUCUUUUACUAUAAAUUUUACAUGGUUUAAAUUUGCUGGCCAAGUCUUUGCUGGAUACAUGACUGUGUUUUGUAUUUUGGAAAGGAAUGGUUAUUUUGUGUGUUUAAUUUAAUAAGUCUGAGCAUGAUUGUCUAGUUGCUUAAGAAUAUCUGUUUCUUAGACCUUUUUGUUGUUGCAACGUUGGGCUAGUCAUGUCGAUGGGGCCAUGGGCCAUUGAAACAUUAAGUUGAUAGAACUUUGGGCCUACAAUAACAACAACUACUAUCCAGUAUACUCC
rnacentral:lncRNA from 1 species